rnacentral:tRNA from 1 species
GGGGAGGUGGCAGAGUUGGUUGAUUGCUUCUGAUUUGAAAUUAGAUGGACUAAUUAGUUCCGUGGGUUCGAAUCCUACCCUCUCCG